AUCAUUUCUAGGCCUCUUGGCUAAGAUCAAGUGUAGUAUCUGUUCUUAUCAGUUUAAUAUCUGAUAUGUCAUCUAUCCAAGGACAAUAUAUUAAAUGGAUUUGGAGCAGGGAGUUGGAAUAGGAGCUUUCUCCAUCCACUCCACGCAUUGACCUGGUAUCGCAGUACCUCCAGGAAAAGUGUACCAAAA
ensembl:snRNA U2 U2 spliceosomal RNA